CCAUCUCCCAAGUCAUUCUUUUCUGAGGUCCAUAUUGACUUUCAUAUAUCUUCUUAUUUCUAUAACUGAGGGAGCUUCAAAUAUGCAAAGAAUCCAGAUUUACAUCUCCAGCCCUGAGCUUCAGACACAUGUAUGUGUAUGACUUCCUGCCUGGCUCUCCACUUGUCAACCCAGAGGCAUCUCAAGACCGUCAAGGCCAAAGUGGAAUGACAGACUUCAUACCUGCAUCCCAGCCCCCAAAGGGAUCUUCCCAUCUCAGAUCUUCAGUCCUGAAUGGGCCCUUUGCUGUCAGCCUGACCCUAGCCACACUCUUCUCCGCUGAAUGACCUCCUUCUGCUAUUGCUGCUCCUAUUCUUUUUCCCCUACACCAAGAGACAGCCUGAGUGCUCUACCUAAAAUAUGAACAUCCUGUUAUUUCGGAACUCAGAAGUCUCCAAUGGCUUCUCAAAAUACUUGGAAGAAAAUCCAAACUUAUGAAGGUCCUUCCAUGCUCACCGUGGUCUGGGCCCUGAUUACCUCUUGGUCUAGGUAAUCAAUGAAACAAGAAGUCAACUCCCUAAUUUGUAGCCUAUUUCUGUGGUGUAAAACCCUCACCAUGCUGAUCUCAAACUGCACCAUGAUGUCACUGUAUGCGGAAUAGUGAAGAGGUACACAGUAGCACCAUCAUAUAGGAGGUCUACCACAUAGGGUUCACACACCCAAAGAAGAUUUGAUAAG